GUAGAAUUUUAAUUUUAAUUUUAAUUUUUUAUUUCAAUUUUGAAUUAAUUUUGUUUUCGAAAUUGAGUUUUAAUUUAAGCUUUGAUAUUGAGAUUGAAUUUAAUUUCAAUAGAGUUUGAAUUUAAAUUCGUUGUUUGAUUUAGAUUUGCAUUUAGGUUUGAAUUUCAGUUUGCAUUUUGGAUUUAAGUUUAAUUUAAAUUCAAAUUAGUUUGAAUUUAGUUUUAGAUUUGAAAUUCAUAAUUAAAUUUGGAUUUGAAUUUUAAUUAUAAAUUUGGAUUCUGAAUUUUG
rnacentral:lncRNA from 1 species